rnacentral:rRNA from 1 species
AUAGGGUCAAGUGAAUAAGUGCAUCAGGCGGAUGCCUUGGCGAUGAUAGGCGACGAAGGACGUGUAAGCCUGCGAAAAGCGCGGGGGAGCUGGCAAUAAAGCUAUGAUUCCGCGAUGUCCGAAUGGGGAAACCCACUGCAUUCUGUGCAGUAUCCUAAGUUGAAUACAUAGGCUUAGAGAAGCGAACCCGGAGAACUGAACCAUCUAAGUACCCGGAGGAAAAGAAAUCAACCGAGAUUCCGCAAGUAGUGGCGAGCGAACGCGGAGGAGCCUGUACGUAAUAACUGUCGAGAUAGAAGAACAAGCUGGGAAGCUUGACCAUAGCGGGUGACAGUCCCGUAUUCGAAAUCUCAACAGCGGUACUAAGCGUACGAAAAGUAGGGCGGGACACGUGAAAUCCUGUCUGAAUAUGGGGGGACCAUCCUCCAAGGCUAAAUACUCAUCAUCGACCGAUAGUGAACCAGUACCGUGAGGGAAAGGCGAAAAGAACCCCGGGAGGGGAGUGAAACAGAACCUGAAACCUGAUGCAUACAAACAGUGGGAGCGCCCUAGUGGUGUGACUGCGUACCUUUUGUAUAAUGGGUCAACGACUUACAUUCAGUAGCGAGCUUAACCGGAUAGGGGAGGCGUAGGGAAACCGAGUCUUAAUAGGGCGAUGAGUUGCUGGGUGUAGACCCGAAACCGAGUGAUCUAUCCAUGGUNNNNNNNNNNNNNNNNNNNNNNNNNNNNNNNNNNNNNNNNNNNNNNNNNNNNNNNNNNNNNNNNNNNNNNNNNNNNNNNNNNNNNNNNNNNNNNNUGGCCAGGUUGAAGGUGCCGUAACAGGUACUGGAGGACCGAACCCACGCAUGUUGCAAAAUGCGGGGAUGAGCUGUGGGUAGGGGUGAAAGGCUAAACAAACUCGGAGAUAGCUGGUUCUCCCCGAAAACUAUUUAGGUAGUGCCUCGAGCAAGACACUGAUGGGGGUAAAGCACUGUUAUGGCUAGGGGGUUAUUGCAACUUACCAACCCAUGGCAAACUCAGAAUACCAUCAAGUGGUUCCUCGGGAGACAGACAGCGGGUGCUAACGUCCGUUGUCAAGAGGGAAACAACCCAGACCGCCGGCUAAGGUCCCAAAUGAUAGAUUAAGUGGUAAACGAAGUGGGAAGGCACAGACAGCCAGGAUGUUGGCUUAGAAGCAGCCAUCAUUUAAAGAAAGCGUAAUAGCUCACUGGUCGAGUCGUCCUGCGCGGAAGAUGUAACGGGGCUCAAAUCUAUAACCGAAGCUGCGGAUGCCGGUUUACCGGCAUGGUAGGGGAGCGUUCUGUAGGCUGAUGAAGGUGCAUUGUAAAGUGUGCUGGAGGUAUCAGAAGUGCGAAUGUUGACAUGAGUAGCGAUAAAGCGGGUGAAAAGCCCGCUCGCCGAAAGCCCAAGGUUUCCUACGCAACGUUCAUCGGCGUAGGGUAAGUCGGCCCCUAAGGCGAGGCAGAAAUGCGUAGUCGAUGGGAAACAGGUUAAUAUUCCUGUACUUGAUUCAAAUGCGAUGUGGGGACGGAGAAGGUUAGGUUGGCAAGCUGUUGGAAUAGCUUGUUUAAGCCGGUAGGUGGAAGACUUAGGCAAAUCCGGGUUUUCUUAACACCGAGAAGUGAUGACGAGUGUCUACGGACACGAAGCAACCGAUACCACGCUUCCAGGAAAAGCCACUAAGCUUCAGUUUGAAUCGAACCGUACCGCAAACCGACACAGGUGGGCAGGAUGAGAAUUCUAAGGCGCUUGAGAGAACUCGGGAGAAGGAACUCGGCAAAUUGAUACCGUAACUUCGGGAGAAGGUAUGCCCUCUAAGGUUAAGGACUUGCUCCGUAAGCCCCGGAGGGUCGCAGAGAAUAGGUGGCUGCGACUGUUUAUUAAAAACACAGCACUCUGCCAACACGAAAGUGGACGUAUAGGGUGUGACGCCUGCCCGGUGCCGGAAGGUUAAUUGAAGAUGUGCAAGCAUCGGAUCGAAGCCCCGGUAAACGGCGGCCGUAACUAUAACGGUCCUAAGGUAGCGAAAUUCCUUGUCGGGUAAGUUCCGACCCGCACGAAUGGCGUAACGAUGGCCACACUGUCUCCUCCCGAGACUCAGCGAAGUUGAAGUGGUUGUGAAGAUGCAAUCUACCCGCUGCUAGACGGAAAGACCCCGUGAACCUUUACUGUAGCUUUGCAUUGGACUUUGAAGUCACUUGUGUAGGAUAGGUGGGAGGCUUGGAAGCAGAGACGCCAGUCUCUGUGGAGUCGUCCUUGAAAUACCACCCUGGUGUCUUUGAGGUUCUAACCCAGACCCGUCAUCCGGGUCGGGGACCGUGCAUGGUAGGCAGUUUGACUGGGGCGGUCUCCUCCCAAAGCGUAACGGAGGAGUUCGAAGGUUACCUAGGUCCGGUCGGAAAUCGGACUGAUAGUGCAAUGGCAAAAGGUAGCUUAACUGCGAGACCGACAAGUCGGGCAGGUGCGAAAGCAGGACAUAGUGAUCCGGUGGUUCUGUAUGGAAGGGCCAUCGCUCAACGGAUAAAAGGUACUCCGGGGAUAACAGGCUGAUUCCGCCCAAGAGUUCAUAUCGACGGCGGAGUUUGGCACCUCGAUGUCGGCUCAUCACAUCCUGGGGCUGUAGUCGGUCCCAAGGGUAUGGCUGUUCGCCAUUUAAAGUGGUACGUGAGCUGGGUUUAAAACGUCGUGAGACAGUUUGGUCCCUAUCUGCAGUGGGCGUUGGAAGUUUGACGGGGGCUGCUCCUAGUACGAGAGGACCGGAGUGGACGAACCUCUGGUGUACCGGUUGUAACGCCAGUUGCAUAGCCGGGUAGCUAAGUUCGGAAGAGAUAAGCGCUGAAAGCAUCUAAGCGCGAAACUCGCCUGAAGAUGAGACUUCCCUUGCGGUUUAACCGCACUAAAGGGUCGUUCGAGACCAGGACGUUGAUAGGUGGGGUGUGGAAGCGCGGUAACGCGUGAAGCUAACCCAUACUAAUUGCCCGUGAGGCUUGACUCUAU